AGAGGUUACUGCUAUCGGAGUUCGAUUAAGCCAUGCGAGUCUAAAGGUUUCUACGGAAACCUCGGCGAACUGCUCAGUAACACGUGAAUAACCUACCCUUGGGACUGGAAUAACCCCGGGAAACUGGGGAUAAUACCGGAUAGAUCAGGGAUGCUGGAAUGCACCUUGAUCCAAAGCUCCGGCGCCCAAGGAUGGGUCUGCGGCCUAUCAGGUAGUAGUGGGUGUAAUGUACCUACUAGCCAACGACGGGUACGGGUUGUGAGAGCAAGAGCCCGGAGAUGGAUUCUGAGACACGAAUCCAGGCCCUACGGGGUGCAGCAGGCGCGAAACCUUUACAAUGUGCGAAAGCAUGAUAAGGGAACUCCGAGUGCCAGCAUCUAAUGUUGGCUGUCCUUGUGCCUAAAACGCACAAGAUAGCAAGGGCCGGGUAAGACCGGUGCCAGCCGCCGCGGUAACACCGGCGGCCCGAGUGGUAGCCGCUAUUAUUGGGUCUAAAGGGUCCGUAGCCGGUUCGAUAAGUCCUCUGGGAAAUCUGAUUGCUUAACAAUCAGACUGCCAAGGGAUACUGUCGAACUUGAGACCGGGAGAGGUAAGAGGUACUUCAGGGGUAGGAGUGAAAUCUUGUAAUCCCUGGGGGACCAUCUGUGGCGAAGGCGUCUUACCAGAACGGGUCUGACGGUGAGGGACGAAAGCUGGGGGCGCAAACCGGGAUUAGAUACCCGGGUAGUCCCAGCCGUAAACGAUGCUCGCUGUGUGUCAGGUACGGUGUGACCGUAUCUGGUGCCGUAGGGAAGCCGUGAAGCGAGCCACCUGGGAAGUACGGUCGCAAGACUGAAACUUAAAGGAAUUGGCGGGGGAGCAC
rnacentral:rRNA from 1 species